rnacentral:rRNA from 1 species
UACGGAGGAUGCAAGCGUUAUCCGGAAUGAUUGGGCGUAAAGCGUCCGCAGGUGGCUGUGUAAGUCUGCUGUUAAAGAGUCUAGCUCAACUAGAUACAAGCAGUGGAAACUACACGGCUAGAGUACGUUCGGGGCAGAGGGAAUUCCUGGUGUAGCGGUGAAAUGCGUAGAGAUCAGGAAGAACACCGGUGGCGAAGGCGCUCUGCUAGGCCGUAACUGACACUGAGGGACGAAAGCUAGGGGAGCGAAUGGGAUUAGAUACCCCAGUAGUCCUAGCCGUAAACGAUGGAUACUAGGCGUGGCUUGUAUCGACCCGAGCCGUGCCGUAGCUAACGCGUUAAGUAUCCCGCCUGGGGAGU